rnacentral:tRNA from 1 species
AUCUGUCUGGCUCAGCUGGUAGAGCGUGUGACUCUUGAUCUCAGGGUUGUGAGUUCAAGCCCCACAUUGGGUG